rnacentral:tmRNA from 1 species
GGGGACGAAAGGAAUCGACAGGGACGGACGGACGCGGAUUGCGGGCCGAGGCGCCAUCACCCUCGUUAAUCAGGUGGCACGCUAGUAACUGGCGAACGACAACUCGCCCUCGCUGCCUAACCCGUAGCGACGUUCCGCCGGCCCCCGUCUGACGGGCCGGACGGAGCGACGACAGUCGGACUGCUCCGCAGGCGCGCGCCUCAAGCGCCGGCGGCUAAGACUGCUGAGGCUGGUCCGCCGACCCCUCGUCAGUGGAGGGCGGCAGGCGAGAUCUCCCACUGGCUACGCCCGUAGCAGAUCCAUGGCGAAUGUUCGCUGGACGGGGAGUUCAAUUCUCCCCCGUCUCCACCA